rnacentral:pre_miRNA from 1 species
UUUUUAGUGUAAGUAUGUCCCAUGCAAUAUUGGGAGCUGUGCUUGGGAAAUAUUUAUGCUAAAU